UUACGGGAGGCAGCAGUGGGGAAUUUUGGACAAUGGGCGCAAGCCUGAUCCAGCCAUUCCGCGUGAGUGAAGAAGGCCUUCGGGUUGUAAAGCUCUUUCGGUGGGGACGAAACGGCGCGGGCUAAUACCCUGCGUUAAUGACGGUACCCAAAGAAGAAGCACCGGCUAACUACGUGCCAGCAGCCGCGGUAAUACGUAGGGUGCGAGCGUUAAUCGGAAUUACUGGGCGUAAAGCGUGCGCAGGCGGUUAUUUAAGACAGAUGUGAAAUCCCCGGGCUCAACCUGGGAACUGCGUUUGUGACUGGAUAGCUGGAGUAUGGCAGAGGGGGGUGGAAUUCCACGUGUAGCAGUGAAAUGCGUAGAGAUGUGGAGGAACACCGAUGGCGAAGGCAGCCCCCUGGGCCAAUACUGACGCUCAUGCACGAAAGCGUGGGGAGCAAACAGGAUUAGAUACCCCAGUAGUCC
rnacentral:rRNA from 1 species